rnacentral:rRNA from 1 species
UGCAAGUCGAGGGGCAGCAUGAUUGAAGCUUGCUUCAAUUGAUGGCGACCGGCGCACGGGUGAGUAACGCGUAUCCAACCUUCCGUACACUCAGGGAUAGCCUUUCGAAAGAAAGAUUAAUACCUGAUGGUAUGAUGAGAUUGCAUGAUAGCAUCAUUAAAGAUUUAUCGGUGUACGAUGGGGAUACGUUCCAUUAGGUAGUAGGCGGGGUAAUGGCCCACCUAGCCGACGAUGGAUAGGGGUUCUGAGAGGAAGGUCCCCCACAUUGGAACUGAGACACGGUCCAAACUCCUACGGGAGGCAGCAGUGAGGAAUAUUGGUCAAUGGACGAGAGUCUGAACCAGCCAAGUAGCGUGAAGGAUGAAGGUCCUACGGAUUGUAAACUUCUUUUAUAAGGGAAUAAAACCUCCCACGUGUGGGAGCUUGUAUGUACCUUAUGAAUAAGCAUCGGCUAACUCCGUGCCAGCAGCCGCGGUAAUACGGAGGAUGCGAGCGUUAUCCGGAUUUAUUGGGUUUAAAGGGAGCGCAGACGGGUCGUUAAGUCAGCUGUGAAAGUUUGGGGCUCAACCUUAAAAUUGCAGUUGAUACUGGCGUCCUUGAGUGCGGUUGAGGUGUGCGGAAUUCGUGGUGUAGCGGUGAAAUGCUUAGAUAUCACGAAGAACUCCGAUUGCGAAGGCAGCACACUAAGCCGUAACUGACGUUCAUGCUCGAAAGUGUGGGUAUCAAACAGGAUUAGAUACCCUGGUAGUCCACACGGUAAACGAUGGAUACUC